AUUGAACGCUAGCGGGAUGCCUUACACAUGCAAGUCGAACGAGUGGCGGACGGGUGAGUAAUAUAUCGGCACCUGCCCGGUAGCGGGGGAUAACUACUCGAAACAGUGGCUAAUACCGCAUACCAUCGGAGCGGCCCAGAUGGGAUUAGCUAGUGGGUGGGGUAAAGGCUCACCAAGGCGACGAUCCCUAGCUGGUCUGAGAGGAUGACCAGCCACAUGGGAACUGAGACACGCGCCAGACUCCUAGGGGAGGCAGCAGUGGGGAAUUGUGAAAAAGGGGCGAAACCUUGACGCAGCCAUCCCGCGUGUAUGAAGAAGGCCUUCGGGUUGUAAAGUACUUUGAGCAGGGAGGCGUUAUCUGCAGAAGAAGCACCGGCUAACUCCGUGCCAGCAGCCGCGGUAAUUC
rnacentral:rRNA from 1 species